UCGCGGCUUAUCACCGGCAGUCCCCUUAGAGUGCCCAACUAAAUGCUGGCAACAUGCGACGGGGGUUGCGCUCGUUGCGGGACUUAACCCAACAUCUCACGACACGAGCUGACGACAGCCAUGCACCACCUGUGAAGAUGCCCCGAAGGGAAGGCCUGUUUCCAGGCCGGUCAUCCACAUGUCAAGCCCUGGUAAGGUUCUGCGCGUUGCGUCGAAUUAAACCACAUGCUCCACCGCUUGUGCGGGCCCCCGUCAAUUCCUUUGAGUUUCAACCUUGCGACCGUACUCCCCAGGCGGGAAGCUUAAUGCGUUAGCUGCGCCACCGACAAGUAAACUUGCCAACGGCUAGCUUCCAUCGUUUACGGCGUGGACUAC
rnacentral:misc_RNA from 1 species